UCGGGGAGAAAGUUAUUGAUAGUACCCGAAGAAUAAGGGGUUGCUAAACUCGUGCCAGCAGCAGCGGUAAUACGAGUGCCCCAAGCGUUAUCCGGAAUCAUUGGGCGUAAAGGGUGUGUAGGUUGUCUUGUUAGUCUUCUGUGAAAUUCUUCGGCUUAACCGGGGGUCCGCAGGGGAAACGGCAAGACUAGAGGAUGUGAGAGGUGAAUGGAACUCAUGGUGUAGGGGUGAAAUCCGUUGAUAUCAU
rnacentral:rRNA from 1 species